UACGAAGGGGCUAGCGUUGCUCGGAAUCACUGGGCGUAAAGCGCACGUAGGCGGACUCUUAAGUCGGUGGUGAAAUCCUGGAGCUCAACUCCAGAACUGCCUUCGAUACUGAGAGUCUCGAGUCCGAGAGAGGUGAGUGGAACUGACGAGUGUAGAGGUGAAAUUCGUAGAUAUUCGCAAGAACACCAGUGGCGAAGGCGGCUCACUGGCUCGGUACUGACGC
rnacentral:rRNA from 1 species